UACGUAGGGAGCAAGCGUUGUCCGGAUUUACUGGGUGUAAAGGGCGUGUAGGCGGGAUGGUAGGUCUGAUGUGAAAGCCCGAGGCUCAACCUCGGAACUGCAUUGGAAACCAUCAUUCUUGAGUGGUGGAGAGGCAGACGGAAUUCCUAGUGUAGCGGUGAAAUGCGUAGAUAUUAGGAGGAACACCAGUGGCGAAGGCGGUCUGCUGGCCAUUUACUGACGCUGAGGCGCGAAAGCGUGGGGAGCAAACAGG
rnacentral:rRNA from 1 species